rnacentral:rRNA from 1 species
GGUGAACGCUGGCGGUAGGCCUAACACAUGCAAGUCGAACGGCAGCACAGUAAGAGCUUGCUCUUACGGGUGGCGAGUGGCGGACGGGUGAGGAAUACAUCGGAAUCUACUUUUUCGUGGGGGAUAACGUAGGGAAACUUACGCUAAUACCGCAUACGACCUACGGGUGAAAGCAGGGGAUCUUCGGACCUUGCGCGAUUGAAUGAGCCGAUGUCGGAUUAGCUAGUUGGCGGGGUAAAGGCCCACCAAGGCGACGAUCCGUAGCUGGUCUGAGAGGAUGAUCAGCCACACUGGAACUGAGACACGGUCCAGACUCCUACGGGAGGCAGCAGUGGGGAAUAUUGGACAAUGGGCGCAAGCCUGAUCCAGCCAUACCGCGUGGGUGAAGAAGGCCUUCGGGUUGUAAAGCCCUUUUGUUGGGAAAGAAAAGCAGCAGGUUAAUACCCCGCUGUUCUGACGGUACCCAAAGAAUAAGCACCGGCUAACGUCGUG